rnacentral:rRNA from 1 species
UACGAAGGGGGCUAGCGUUGCUCGGAAUUACUGGGCGUAAAGGGCGCGUAGGCGGAUAUUUAAGUUAGAGGUGAAAGCCCAGGGCUCAACCCUGGAAUAGCCUUUAAUACUGGAUAUCUUGAGUUCGGGAGAGGAUAGUGGAAUUCCCAGUGUAGAGGUGAAAUUCGUAGAUAUUGGGAAGAACACCGGUGGCGAAGGCGGCUAUCUGGCCCGUAAUUGACGCUGAGGCGCGAAAGCGUGGGGAGCAAACAGG